UACGUAGGGGGCAAGCGUUGUCCGGAUUUAUUGGGCGUAAAGAGCGUGUAGGCGGCCAAACAGGUCAGCUGUGAAAACUCGAGGCUCAACCUCGAGACGUCGGUUGAAACCGUUUGGCUAGAGUCCGGAAGAGGAGAGUGGAAUUCCCGGUGUAGCGGUGAAAUGCGCAGAUAUCGGGAAGAACGCCCGUGGCGAAGGCGGCUCUCUGGGACGGUACUGACGCUGAGACGCGAAAGCGUGGGGAGCGAACAGG
rnacentral:rRNA from 1 species